CACCCGUCUCUUUAUUCGGGUGAAGGGAUGGAAUUAAACGGAAGCCCUGUGAAGCGCGCCCGCAAGGCCCGCCAUUCCGAAGCUGCCCCGCAGCGGUGAAUGGAAACGACCGCCGUCACCGGGCACUGGGCCCAACGCCCGGGAAGCGACGGCCACCAGGCGGACGCAGCCGCGUCCAUGUCCGUCAGCCCGAACACCGGCCUGGGCUGGAGGCGCAUC
rnacentral:ncRNA from 2 species